GGAGAGCUGGCAGAGUGGUCGAAUGCGGCGGUCUUGAAAACCGUUGUCCCGAAAGGGACCGGGGGUUCGAAUCCCUCGCUCUCCGCCA
rnacentral:tRNA from 1 species